UUUCCGUAGGCGAACCUGCGGAAGGAUCAUUAAUGAAAAUUAUAAAAAAACGCCCAAGUGAAAUGUGCACGUGUGUUUUUUCAAUCUCUUUUUUUCACUUUUUUUUGAUUUGAUUCUUUUUUUUUAUAUAAAAAAAAAGAAGAGGAAAGAAUUAAAGUGAAAAAAAAAAGAGAUAUGAAAAAAUCAAAAAACUUUUAAAACCCUUUAUAAAAUAAAAUAUAGUUUGUCAAUUUUAUUGUUUCUUUUUUUUUCACAUGACUUUUAUUAAUUGAAAAAAAAGAGAGACGUAAAAUAUAAAAUGAAAAAAAAAACUUUUAACAACGGAUCUCUUGGCUCUC
rnacentral:misc_RNA from 1 species